UUAACUUUUAACGAGUGGAAAAAUGUUCGCUUUCAUCCUCCAGCUUCACUGUUUAUAUUAUGCUUAGAGUUGGGUGCAAAUUAGAUAUUGCAGUCUCUGUAAAACAGAGAAAAGCUUUCUGAAACUAUGCACAGUCUUUAAGACUAUAGGCUACUCUCUUUGAGAGGUUUUUCAGUGCCUGUCAAUUAUCAUUUGUUCUUUGAUAUCCUCAGUGUUUCACACUGGAUAAAAGUCGGUUAUUUUUCCAACAGAAACUUAAAUAAAGAGACAGACCUGAAGCUCCAUCACAUAAACUCAAAUAAGCCUUCCUGGAUUGGGAAUACCUGGGCCUCAUCAGACCAGCUGGUAUAUUAGAAGGAGGAGAUCAGCUGUUCAACGCUGGAUUGUUGUGAAGGCUCUAAUUCCCCGGACUCGUCGCCGUGUUUCCCCGUGUGGAGUGUGGAAGGAGUGACUGGUCGCUAGCAGAGAAGAGAGAGGUUGAACUGAGGGCGUGUGUGAUUUCCCUGUUUUCCCUGGAGCCCUGGACCUCUGCCCCUCACGUCUUGUAUAUAGCACUAACCCCGCACUGUCUGUACAUACACUUGGUGAAGAUCUGUAAAUAAACCGUCUCUGUUUAAACGCUA